UACGUAGGGGCGAGCGUUGUCCGGAAUGAUUGGGCGUAAAGGGCGCGCAGGCGGCCUGUCAAGUCAGUAGUGGAAUACCAUUUUUCUAAGGAUGGAAGUGCUAUAGAAACUGAUGGGCUUGAGUGCAGAAGAGGGAAGUGGAAUUCCAUGUGUAGCGGUGAAAUGCGUAGAGAUAUGGAGGAACACCAGUGGCGAAGGCGGCUUCCUGGUCUGUAACUGACACUGAGGCGCGAAAGCGUGGGGAGCAAACAGGAUUA
rnacentral:rRNA from 1 species